UAUCAAAGUUUCCAACAUCAAUAGCAGCCGCCAACAAAUAGGCUAUCUUAGUUUAUAUUCUCUGUCCUUCUAAGAUUAGUUCUAUACUAACAUUUAAAGGGGAUCAACAAGAGGGACCAGGAAAAGGCACUAUGUAGUAGAGGGAACCCUUCAAUUCAGAGACGUUUAGACAGGUCUUUUAAGUACGUUUCGUGGUUGUAAUUCACAUCCCGCAGCAAAGUGCGGGCACCGCUGCUAGUAUCAUAUAAAAACCGGAAACCCUCCCUCACUCUGCCGAAAUUGCAAGCCUAAACCCUAAAUGCUUGUAGAGCGACGGAGCCAGUUUUCAAAUGGCGGAUUACAUACCCGAACAUCUGAUGGUUCAAAUCCUGCAGAGGUUGCCGGUCAAAUCCCUAAUCCGCUUCACCUCCGUUUCGAAACGCUGGCGUCUCAUCAUAUUGUCGGACCCAAAUUUCGCCAAAUCCCAAUUCCAGCAAUCCCGGAGUCGCAGAGUCCUCUGCCUCGACCGCAAAGAAUCUGAGUUCGAUUCCCGGGACAUGGAGAUGCCGUGGUCCACUGGAGAAAGCUCUACUGACAGAAAGCUCAGCUGCCCAUUCAAGCAGCCGGGCUAUAAUCUCAACGCACUCUUCUCCUGCAAUGGUUUAGUAUGUGCAGCUCUUUCUGAUCGAAACUGGACCGAUUUGGACAUCUAUCUCUGGAACCCAUCAACUCAGUUCUUCAAAAAACUACCCGGUGCUCCCUUACGAUUUCCAUUUACACGCUGUUAUGGUUUUGGCUACUUGUCAGCCACUGGCGACUACAGAGUUCUCAUAGGCAACUUCUGCACAUUGAACAAUAACCACCACAUCUUCUCAUCGAACACUAACAGUUGGAAAAGUAUCCAAUCCCCUUUACCUGUCCAAAGAGACGAUCAGUGGAUUCUUUCAAAUGAGGCACUUCAUUCGGUUGAGAAGGAGAUACUUGCUUUCGAUUUAAACCAUGAUAAGUUUCAAACAAUGCCGCUGCCUGACCCGGAACCGGGUCAGUAUAUCAGAGAGCUAGGGGACUUUAGAGGCUGCCUGUGUGCAUUUGAUUAUAAGAAUCAAUGUAUUGGCUUUAUUGAUUUGUGGGUCAUGAAAGAAUAUAACGUGGGUGAGUCCUGGACUAAGUUCUUUACCUUAAAGAUUUUUGAUCUGCAGCCUAUGGUUGUACUUUAUUUAAGGCCGAUCAUGGUUAUGGAAACUAGUACAAUUCUGGAGAUAGAGCUUUCUAAUGAUCGUAGGCUUAUUGAUACUGAGUUCAAGUUGAUAAAGAGUUGUCAUAAGGAAGAGAAGUUUGAAACACAUGAGAUUAGCAGGAAGAUGUAUGCCAAAAUGAUUGGAUAUGAAGAGAGUCUACUUUGGCUUGGAGUCCAUAACAACAGGAACUGGCCUAUGGAACUAGCCAAGAAGGCUAUGAAUGCUUCAGAAGCUGAGAAAAAUGGUGAACAAGGCGGAAUGAAGGACAAUGUGGAUAACCAAGGGUCAAAUCCUGUCAACGUGUGUGUUCAAAACCAUGGCAGCAGCUCUGUUCAUGUUCAACAGCAAACAAAACAAAUGAUUGCAAAGGAGCAGGUUUCUCAUUCAUGUAAAUGACAUAUAUUUUCCAAGCAGUCAUAUGCUCUUGUUUAAUGAAGACUGGUAAGUGUUGUCUAAUGAAGACUGGUCAGCAGAGCACCAAAGUGAUCAAGAAAGAUUUGAGAUUCAUCUGCUGCAGCUCAAACAUCAGACACUGCUCAAGCAACUCCCAAACAGCACCUGCAUCUGGCGCACAGCCAACUUAAUCAUCACAGAAUAGUGUCUCCCAACUCCUGAUUUGUCCCAGUCCCUGGUUGGUCAAGGCGGUCCAAAAUUGGCAAGAAAGUGUAACAUCAAUUCUUGAUUUUCUAAUUUCUGACAGCAGCCUAAAAGAGACUUCAGAAAGCCAUCACGGAAAUUGUGAUUUGAAUACCAAAUAGGAAAUUUACCUGAAGUUUUGUAAUGGUCAAUAUGAUGUUUUUUGUUUUGCGCAUCUUAGUAAUCUACAUUUUAUAUUUGAAUUUGUUGUGUUUGAAUGCCAAAUGGGAACAGACCUGGAUAGUUGGAUCAGACUUCAUAUGGAU